GUUAAGCGACUAAGCGUACACGGUGGAUGCCCUGGCAGUCAGAGGCGAUGAAGGACGUGCUAAUCUGCGAUAAGCGUCGGUAAGGUGAUAUGAACCGUUAUAACCGGCGAUUUCCGAAUGGGGAAACCCAGUGUGAUUCGUCACACUAUCAUUAACUGAAUCCAUAGGUUAAUGAGGCGAACCGGGGGAACUGAAACAUCUAAGUACCCCGAGGAAAAGAAAUCAACCGAGAUUCCCCCAGUAGCGGCGAGCGAACGGGGAGCAGCCCAGAGCCUGAAUCAGUGUGUGUGUUAGUGGAAGCGUCUGGAAAGGCGCGCGAUACAGGGUGACAGCCCCGUACACAAAAAUGCACAUGCUGUGAGCUCGAUGAGUAGGGCGGGACACGUGGUAUCCUGUCUGAAUAUGGGGGGACCAUCCUCCAAGGCUAAAUACUCCUGACUGACCGAUAGUGAACCAGUACCGUGAGGGAAAGGCGAAAAGAACCCCGGCGAGGGGAGUGAAAAAGAACCUGAAACCGUGUACGUACAAGCAGUGGGAGCACGCUUAGGCGUGUGACUGCGUACCUUUUGUAUAAUGGGUCAGCGACUUAUAUUCUGUAGCAAGGUUAACCGAAUAGGGGAGCCGAAGGGAAACCGAGUCUUAACUGGGCGUUAAGUUGCAGGGUAUAGACCCGAAACCCGGUGAUCUAGCCAUGGGCAGGUUGAAGGUUGGGUAACACUAACUGGAGGACCGAACCGACUAAUGUUGAAAAAUUAGCGGAUGACUUGUGGCUGGGGGUGAAAGGCCAAUCAAACCGGGAGAUAGCUGGUUCUCCCCGAAAGCUAUUUAGGUAGCGCCUCGUGAAUUCAUCUCCGGGGGUAGAGCACUGUUUCGGCAAGGGGGUCAUCCCGACUUACCAACCCGAUGCAAACUGCGAAUACCGGAGAAUGUUAUCACGGGAGACACACGGCGGGUGCUAACGUCCGUCGUGAAGAGGGAAACAACCCAGACCGCCAGCUAAGGUCCCAAAGUCAUGGUUAAGUGGGAAACGAUGUGGGAAGGCCCAGACAGCCAGGAUGUUGGCUUAGAAGCAGCCAUCAUUUAAAGAAAGCGUAAUAGCUCACUGGUCGAGUCGGCCUGCGCGGAAGAUGUAACGGGGCUAAACCAUGCACCGAAGCUGCGGCAGCGACACUGUGUGUUGUUGGGUAGGGGAGCGUUCUGUAAGCCUGCGAAGGUGUGCUGUGAGGCAUGCUGGAGGUAUCAGAAGUGCGAAUGCUGACAUAAGUAACGAUAAAGCGGGUGAAAAGCCCGCUCGCCGGAAGACCAAGGGUUCCUGUCCAACGUUAAUCGGGGCAGGGUGAGUCGACCCCUAAGGCGAGGCCGAAAGGCGUAGUCGAUGGGAAACAGGUUAAUAUUCCUGUACUUGGUGUUACUGCGAAGGGGGGACGGAGAAGGCUAUGUUGGCCGGGCGACGGUUGUCCCGGUU
rnacentral:rRNA from 1 species